AGCCAAAAAAAAUACUUUUCUUUCUUCUCCCCUCCAAACCGAAUGUAUCGCUCAAACCCAUAUCGAAAGUUGAUCUCUUUCUGGAAAAAAAAAAAAAGACGAAACCCAGAUAAAAUUAUGUUCCUCUGUUAAUCUCGCUUCGGUCUCGAAUAGGUUAUGGGAGAUAAAGUCGACGACUUUAGGGUUUGCGUCGCUGGAAUCCAAAGAGUGGGUUGAAUCAACGUUAACGAGAACAUCGAAUUCGGAGAAGAGUCAGAUAAAGAUCUGUCCAGAUUCGAUUGGCUUCCUCAGAUUCUCAUUUUCGAUCUCUAAUCUCGAUUGAAGUUUCACCACCACACUCCUUUUGACAUUGUAGCUCGUUACCACCAUCACCAUCUCUCGGUGCUUGCUCAGUUCGUCGCGAAUCUUGCCAGUAGUUAACCAACGAAGAAUCACUCUCCACCAAUUCGUCUCUCGUCAAUCACAGCGAAGAAGAAGAAAGGACCCUAAAUCGAAUUUAGGAACUCCAUCAAUGGCGUUGAUGCUGGCCCGCAGGUGACUAAAUACUCUUUGUUCUCACCAUCGCGUAUGAAUCUCGUUUGCUCUUGUGCUUUUGUUUUGGGAAUCAAGGAUCACUCUCUGUCUCUUCGGGAUUGUGUCUGCAAUUGAAACUGUCCAUUUGAUGCUCAUUUGACAAGGCUCUAGAGACUGUAGAUGAAGCUCUUGUGACCUUUUGUGGUGUAUUCGAUGGUUGGUCCUUUCGGUCAUCUUGUUGCUUGAGUGAUAGAUACAUUGCCUGUGAAGUUGCAGUCUUUCUUUCAUGUCUGAGAUACAUUGAAAGUUCAACUAUGAGCUGUGUAGAGUUAGCAAAGACCAGAGGAAGAGAGCUUCAGGAGAUCUUUCUGUGGUGGGGACAACAGACUCAGAGUGGCUCUUCUUCUGUCCAUUGGACCGGAAGUAUCCGAGUGGAAAUAGGAUGAAUGGAGCCACUGUUGCUGGCUACUGGAAGGUCGCUGAAAAGACCGUAAGGUUAAGUCAGGGAGCACUAAGAUCAUAGGUGUUAUUGGUUACUUUAUUCUUUAACUGCAGUUUGGUGAGUUAGUUACUUGCAUCGGAAGAGCUUUGUUUCUAUUAGUAGACAGCACCUCCAUCUUAGUCAACUGUCUUUUGUUUUGAGUUGAUAUUUUCUUGUA